rnacentral:rRNA from 1 species
CCUACGGGGGGCAGCAAUUAGGAAUCUUGUGCAAUGGGCGAAAGCCUGACACAGCGACGCCGCGUGAGGGAGGAAGGCCUUCGGGUUGUAAACCUCUUUUGACGAGGAGCCGGUACUCGUCGAAUAAGCCCCGGCUAACUCCGUGCCAGCAGCCGCGGUAAUACGGGGGGGGCGAGCGUUGUCCGAAGUUACUGGGCGUAAAGCGCGUGUAGGCGGGUUGUUAAGUCCGCUGUGAAAGCCCGGUGCUCAACGCCGGAGGGUCGGUGGAUACUGGCAGUCUUGAAGUGGCUAGGGGGAAAUGGAAUUACCGGUGUAGCGGUGAAAUGCGUAGAUAUCGGUAGGAACACCAGUGGCGAAGGCGGUUUCCUGGAGUACUUGACGCUGAGACGCGAAAGCUGGGGGAGCAAACGGGAUUAGAUACCCUUGUAGUC